UCUUGAUGUCAGAAUGGAACAUUUCUAUAUACUGUAUGUACAGUUACAUUACAGUUACAGAGACCAGAAAGGUUGUCUUGUGUGAACCCCCAGGUGUAAGAAAAGAGGAAGAAAGAUUUAUAUGAGAAACUGUAAAUCAUCAAGGGCCAAAAAAUAAUCUGUUCAGUUUUUUGGCUCCAAAAUUCCAAAAGCUACAAACAAACAUCAGUGCAAGUUAAGUUCCAUUUCCAAAAGGCCAAAGUGAAGAGAAGAGAAGAGCAGAGUCCAUACCAAUAGAACAACCAAAAAUAAAUAAUAAACAUCUAAAGAGAUUCAACAAACAAACAAAGGACUGCAAUUCACCAGGAGCCAGAACUGAUGCCUAAACUGAUAUAUAGAGCUUGAACCUCCCUCUUAGUAUCUUUUGGGUUCACUUGUGCUGUGUGUGAACUGUUGCCCAGCUUGAAUGAGUCUUUGAGGUGUGUAUUUGUGACUGGAAGGAAACCUAUUCUUUUAGCAAUUUAAGACAAUAUUCAGUAUCAAUGUAAAUGUUAAUUUUAAUGCGUUUAGUAAAAUGUGUUGGGAACAUAAAAUGCUUUGAAUACCAAAACUUUCACGACCCCCAGCGCAGUACCUCCAUCUAUCCUCUAGGGGUCACAGACUCCCUGUUGAAGACCAGGGAGUCUGUUGCAAAAAAUUUGGUAGUUAAUAAUAAUUAAUCCUAAAGUAAUUAUAAGGAAAUAAUAUUUCUAUUGAAUUGUAUUUUUUUCUGUGUCAAAGGUAAAAUAUUGCAGGGCCCCUAAAUGAAGUACUUUCCAAAAUGAAGCUUAAAAAUGUGUUAGUUUGUUUAAGAUACUUUCUGUUCUCCAAGAGUUCAAUCCAUUUCAUCACAAACUGUCAACAGUCAGCCAUUCUUCUCUCAGUCCCACAGAAGUUCUGCUUCACCCCCUCCGUCCGCUGACCCUGAGUCUGUGCUGAGCAGCAGCUGGAGGCCAGAGCACAAGUCGGGCAGAGAGGAAUCUGGCACCGCCGCAAACCCCACCAGACAACUGCAGGGCCACACACGAACAAAUGCAGCCCACAGCAGCCCCGGUGUUCGUUCGCCAAGGGGGCUCCAUCCGCCAAAACACACAGUGCCCACAGGCUCAGCGAGGGGAAAUCAGGACACCACCUCCCAGCAACCAUCACGGUCCGGCAGCAUCCCAGCCAUGCUGCCAAAACCACCACUGACACCACUGGUUAAGCUGGUGGGCAAAGUCUACUCACUCAAAUGCAGGUUCUGUGAAGAAGUCUUCCACGGCCCUCUGUCGGUUCAGGAGCAGUGGAUCACACACCUGCAGAAACACAUCCUCUCUCUGGGCUACAAAGGCAAAGAUUCUCCUCCCGCUGCACCGGUGGAAGCUGCGGCUCUGGUCCAUCUGCUCUCUGUCUAGACGACUGAUCACUGGCCUUAGUGGCUUCUGAUCCUGACCCGGUCUUGAUCCUGUCUUUAGUAGUGGCUGAUGCACAGGUCUGAUCUGACUCUUAGAUGAGUAUCAGAUGUGAAAGUGCCAGAAAGUUCACUAUCAGGUCUGUAGUUAGAAUCCACACUUGAAAUGAAAAACAAUAAGAGAGAGCGGCCACGUCACCGUGUUCAAACCAGAGGCUCCUUUUUUGAUAUGUGAUUUUUAACAACUAAAAACUAGUGAAAUCUUUCAGUGACAAAUGCCUUUCCUGCUGUGUGCCACUGCUCAGCUGUCUUUCCCUCUGAUGCUGAAGUCCUUGUUGUGUCUUUUUUCCUGACGGUGGCUGUUCUUCUGCUGGUGGAGCAGAUCUGUGCUCACUUUCAACAGCGUCUGAACCUAAUGUCACUGACCUUGGUAUCAUUUCACUCCCCUUCUGUCAAAUAUUCACAGUAACAUUUUCCACUGUGAUUUUUUUUUUAUUAAUUCAAAUGUACCACUGUGAACCUGUGUGUGAUUGUUUUAUAAAUUCUACAUUUUAUCACUGUAUAUUUCUGAUGUCUUAAAAGCAUUUCUUUUUAAAUGAAUGAUUUGAAAUUUCUUUAUCAUGAUUUACUCACAGUAUGUUAUGUGUAUUUAUGUGAUGAACACAGCCCCCCCCACCCCCUAAAAAAAAACCAACCCAUAUGUGUAUCCUUUGUAAAUUUGUAAUGGCUCUAAGUGUAUGUAACUAAAUGUAAAACAGAAGCCGUGUUGUGUCCAGGAGUCAUCAGAAUGUUAGCCACUCAGGUGAAGGCCCGCUGCUGUGACCACUGUGUUGUGAGGAGGAAGAAUGAGUUCCUCCAUCAUCUGGGGAUCCAGAGUUUCCUUCGUUCUGCUCAUACAUUCCUUCCAUGUGUGCAAAUGUGUGGAAAAGGACCCAGUGUUUGUCAUUUGUGACUAACCCAGUCACACAGAGAGAAAAAUGAAUUUAUGUUGGCCCGCUGACUGCUGCUGUUGCCAUCCCACUCGCUCUAAUGUCGUUUAUACCUUGUCAACCGAGCCUUGUUUUUACAAAUGUAUCUUUUUCACUCUUUUGCUGGAACAAGUUUGUCACCUCGUGUCAAACAGACAUCAGUUUCUAAGGACGGGGGGAUGGACACGGAGUUUGUGUCCGACUAAUUGCUAGGGUAGAAAUAAUCAUUGCUCAGAAACGGUUUUUAGACUUUUUCUUUUUUUUUACAUUUAAAACAGCUGUGAUGUAAAUAAAACGUGUCAGGUAUUGUAACAAA